AUGAGCAUCAUGUCCCUUGCAACACUCCUGGACCCCUGAUUUAAGGUCAUAGGAUUCUUCAGUCAGACAAAAGCUGCUGAAGCAAUAAAACGUCUAACCUCUGAGUGUGCCAUCAUUAGACGCUUGGUACACAGCAGAGAGGAAAUCCCCCAGGCUUCUACCUCUCAUGAUGUCACUGGAGGUAGCAAACUGUGGCAUCGUUUGGACGCCAGUGUCAUGGAGGCAAGAAGUUCUCAAAAUGUCACAGCAGAUGCCACUGUGGAGGUUCAGCGCUACCUUGCAGAGCCCAAUAUCAGCAGGCUGGAAAACCCUCUUGAAUACUGGGAGAGACAAAAAAUGUUGUACCCAAAUUUCUAUAGUCUUGCUCAUUCAUUUUUGUGCACACCAGCAUCAUCCGUACCCUGUGAAAGGGUAUUUUCCAAGGCAGGAGAAGUUGUGUCCAAAAAAAGGAACAGGUUAAAACCCCAAACUGUUGAGAAAAUGUUAUUUCUAAAUAACAAUGAAUAAAAUCUCCCCUGUACAUCAUUGUCCAAGUUA